rnacentral:antisense_RNA from 1 species
CUUCACCGAGCCCAGCCACAGCGGCUGCGUGCGGUCCUGGCCGUAGGUGCCCAGCAGCGCCUGCGCCUC